GGAGCUCUUCUGUCCUGCCUUUCUUUGCAGCUGAACCUGCCGGUGAAGGGCCCACAUCCAGGACAGAGGCUCUGGGAGAUGCUGAGGGUGUGUCUGCGGGGAGGACUUCUCCAGCUCCAGGGCUGGAUGCUUGGCCGCAACCCAGCUCCCAUGGCAGGGGUCCUCCGACAGGAGAAACCAAAGACAUGGCAGGCAAGAAAUUCCAGGACCCAUUAGUAAUCAUGUGGCAAAUGCUGAAGGAAUGUCUGCAGAGAAGACAAG